UUUUAAAAUAUCAGGAGGCACUUAUCUUCAAGACUGCACAUGAAGGAGUGAUCCACCUAGAAAAACCAGGCUUCAGUGGCCAGGUUCAGCAUUCCAUGCCAGUGGUGAUCAUUUUACUGAGAAGGAAGCCAUGGGAUGGGCAGGUUCUUCUAAAGGUGAAUGGCUAUACAAGCUGUGAUACAACCAAACCACAGAAUACCACUUAGAAAUAUAAAGGAACAGACUACUGAUACAUAAAACAACUUGGAUGAACCUCAGAGCAAUUAUCCUCAGUGGAAAAAGCCAACCUACAAUGAUUACCUAGUGAAUGAUUUCAUUUACGUAACAUUCUCGAAAUGCCAAGACCAUAGAAAUGGAAAAGAGAAAAAUCAAGCUUUGUCUGAAGACCAAGUUUAUUCCAAGGAGGGAUCAAUUUCCAUCUUUUUAAGGGUAUGAAAGAGGUUUAAAAUUACAUUAAAUAUUGC